rnacentral:rRNA from 1 species
CCUACGGGUGGCAGCAGUGAGGAAUAUUGGUCAAUGGACGGAAGUCUGAACCAGCCAUGCCGCGUGCAGGAAGACGGCUCUAUGAGUUGUAAACUGCUUUUGUACAAGGGUAAACCUGAAUACGUGUUUUCAGCUGCACGUACUGUACGAAUAAGGAUCGGCUAACUCCGUGCCAGCAGCCGCGGUAAUCCGGAGGGUCCAAGCGUUAUCCGGAUUUAUUGGGUUUAAAGGGUGCGUAGGCGGAGUGAGAAGUUAGAGGUGAAAUGUCCGAGCUUAACUCGGGAACUGCCUCUAAAACUGUGGAGCUAGAGUGUAGAUGCGGUAGGCGGAAUGUAUGGUGUAGCGGUGAAAUGCUUAGAGAUCAUACAGAACACCGAUUGCGAAGGCAGCUUACCAAACUAUAUCUGACGUUGAGGCACGAAAGCGUGGGGAGCAAACAGGAUUAGAUACCCCAGUAGUC